rnacentral:rRNA from 1 species
UACGUAGGGUGCAAGCGUUAAUCGGAAUUACUGGGCGUAAAGCGUGCGCAGGCGGUGAUGUAAGACAGGUGUGAAAUCCCCGGGCUUAACCUGGGAACUGCAUUUGUGACUGCAUCGCUGGAGUGCGGCAGAGGGGGAUGGAAUUCCGCGUGUAGCAGUGAAAUGCGUAGAUAUGUGGAGGAAUACCGAUGGCGAAGGCAGCCCCCUGGGAUGAUACUGACGCUCAUGCACGAAAGCGUGGGGAGCAAACAGG